rnacentral:lncRNA from 1 species
AUGUGCCAUUUGGUUCACCAUUGGGCUGUCAAUUAUUGUUCCAUUGUCCGUUGGUCGUGUGAGUACCUGCGCUCCGUUUGUUUUGGCUCUCGUGCUGCGUGUGGUGCGCUUGUGUUCUCUUUUGUUUGCGUCUCAACCCUGUGUUUUGUGUGUACGUGUUUUGUUUGCGUCUCAACCCUGUGUUUUGUGUGUACGUGUUUUGUUUGCGUCUCAACCCUGUGUUUUGUGUGUACGUGUUUUGUUUGCGUCUCAACCCUGUGUUUUGUGUGUACGUGUUUUGUUUGCGUCUCAACCCUGUGUUUUGUGUGUACGUGUUUUGUUUGCGUCUCAACCCUGUGUUUUGUGUGUACGUGUUUUGUUUGCGUCUCAACCCUGUGUUUUGUGUGUACGUGUUUUGUUUGCGUCUCAACCCUGUGUUUUGUGUGUACGUGUUUUGUUUGCGUCUCAACCCUGUGUUUUGUGUGUACGUGUUUUGUUUGCGUCUCAACCCUGUGUUUUGUGUGUACGUGUUUUGUUUGCGUCUCAACCCUGUGUUUUGUGUGUACGUGUUUUGUUUGCGUCUCAACCCUGUGUUUUGUGUGUACGUGUUUUGUUUGCGUCUCAACCCUGUGUUUUGUGUGUACGUGUUUUGUUUGCGUCUCAACCCUGUGUUUUGUGUGUACGUGUUUUGUUUGCGUCUCAACCCUGUGUUUUGUGUGUACGUGUUUUGUUUGCGUCUCAACCCUGUGUUUUGUGUGUACGUGUUUUGUUUGCGUCUCAACCCUGUGUUUUGUGUGUACGUGUUUUGUUUGCGUCUCAACCCUGUGUUUUGUGUGUACGUGUUUUGUUUGCGUCUCAACCCUGUGUUUUGUGUGUACGUGUUUUGUUUGCGUCUCAACCCUGUGUUUUGUGUGUACGUGUUUUGUUUGCGUCUCAACCCUGUGUUUUGUGUGUACGUGUUUUGUUUGCGUCUCAACCCUGUGUUUUGUGUGUACGUGUUUUGUUUGCGUCUCAACCCUGUGUUUUGUGUGUACGUGUUUUGUUUGCGUCUCAACCCUGUGUUUUGUGUGUACGUGUUUUGUUUGCGUCUCAACCCUGUUUUGUGUGUACGUGUUUUGUUUGCGUCUCAACCCUGUGUUUUGUGUGUACGUGUUUUGUUUGCGUCUCAACCCUGUGUUUUGUGUGUACGUGUUUUGUUUGCGUCUCAACCCUGUGUUGUGUGUGUACGUGUUUUGUUUGCGUCUCAACCCUGUGUUUUGUGUGUACGUGUUUUGUUUGCGUCUCAACCCUGUGUUUUGUGUGUACGUGUUUUGUUUGCGUCUCAACCCUGUGUUUUGUGUGUACGUGUUUUGUUUGCGUCUCAACCCUGUGUUUUGUGUGUACGUGUUUUGUUUGCGUCUCAACCCUGUGUUUUGUGUGUACGUGUUUUGUUUGCGUCUCAACCCUGUGUUUUGUGUGUACGUGUUUUGUUUGCGUCUCAACCCUGUGUUUUGUGUGUACGUGUUUUGUGUGGCCUUCGUCCCCGUGCUUUUACAUGGCGCGCUGUCAUUUGGGUUAACGAAUAACCCUCUUACGCAUUCCUGCGCCUGUCUCCCGAUCCUCAUACCAACGUGA